CACCAGGCACUUAUCUGACUUCUCAUAAUCAGACUUCCUAUCAAGAGACAGCUAAGCCCUCAGUGGGCUCUAUCUCUCUUGGACUGCCACGACAGCAGGAAUCUGCCAAAUCAGCUGCUUUGCCCUAUAUUAAACAGGAAGAAUUUUCUCCCCGAAGCCAGAACUCGCAACCUGAGGGUUUAUUGGUCAGGGCCCAACAUGAAGGUGUGGUCAGAGGUACCACAGGAGCCAUCCAAGAAGGAAGUAUAACUCGGGGAACUCCAACCAGCAAACUUUCAGUGGAGAAUAUCCAGUCCCUACGGGGCUCUAUCA